GAUGAACGCUGGCGGCGUGCCUAAUACAUGCAAGUCGAGCGAACAGACGAGGAGCUUGCUCCUCUGACGUUAGCGGCGGACGGGUGAGUAACACGUGGAUAACCUACCUAUAAGACUGGGAUAACUUCGGGAAACCGGAGCUAAUACCGGAUAAUAUAUUGAACCGCAUGGUUCAAUAGUGAAAGACGGUUUUGCUGUCACUUAUAGAUGGAUCCGCGCCGCAUUAGCUAGUUGGUAAGGUAACGGCUUACCAAGGCAACGAUGCGUAGCCGACCUGAGAGGGUGAUCGGCCACACUGGAACUGAGACACGGUCCAGACUCCUACGGGAGGCAGCAGUAGGGAAUCUUCCGCAGUGGGCGAAAGCUUGACGGAGCAACGCCGCGUGAGUGAUGAAGGUCUUCGGAUCGUAAAACUCUGUUAUUAGGGAAGAACAAAUGUGUAAGUAACUAUGCACGUCUUGACGGUACCUAAUCAGAAAGCCACGGCUAACUACGUG
rnacentral:rRNA from 1 species